UACAUGGGGUGCAAACGUUGCUCGGAAUUAUUGGGCGUAAAGCGCACGUAGGCGGUUACUUAAGUCGGAUGUGAAAGCCCUCGGCUCAACCGGGGAAGUGCAUCCGAAACUGAGUAGCUAGAGUACGAAAGAGGGUCGCGGAAUUCCCGGUGUAGAGGUGAAAUUCGUAGAUAUCGGGAGGAACACCGGUGGCGAAGGCGGCGACCUGGGUCGAGACUGACGCUGAGGUGCGAAAGCGUGGGGAGCAAACAGG
rnacentral:rRNA from 1 species